rnacentral:rRNA from 1 species
UUACCGGCUAGAAUGGAANGAAACUGCAAGCAAGGUGCUGCAUGGUUGUCGUCAGCUCGUGCCGUGAGGUGUUGGGUUAAGUCCCGCAACGAGCGCAACCCUAUCUUAGUUACCAUCAUUGGGACUCUAGGACACUNCCUGCGCAACAGGAGGAAGGAGGGGACGACGUCAAAUCAUCAUGGCCUUUAUGUCGGGCUACACACGUAAUACAAUGGAGGACAAGAGGCAUGGCGACAUGCGCAAUCUCAAACUAUCUCAGUUCGGAUUGGAGUCUGCAACUCGACUCCAUGAAGCUGGAAUCGCUAGUAAUCGCAAUCAGCAUGUGCGGUGAAUACGUUCCCGGACCUUGCACACACCGCCCGUCAAGCCAUGGGAGUUGGUGACCUAA